rnacentral:lncRNA from 1 species
AAAAAAAAAAAAGAAAAAGGGACGCCUUUAUUUUUCUAGAGUUGUACUUGAGCACACCAGGAACCGCCUUGCUGUUACUUUCAUAGUAUUGCAUAUUGCCUUCAUCAAUGGUUUCUUAAAUAGGUUUUGUUGUUUUUUCUUUUUUUUUUUUUUUUUUUAAUAUAAUAAAAAAUAAAAUGAAAUAAAACAAAACAGAGGUGUCCAAUCUUUU